AUUCAGACCCCCAACUCAUGAGCAUAUUUGCAACGAGCUCAAUACUUUCCACCAUCUCUCACUUGAAACACCCUCAAAAACUUUGCGAAAUAAAUGUUUUGCGGCUGCACAAAUUCAAAUUUGAUAACACUUAAUUUGCUGAUAACAGAACCUUCUGUCAUACUACUACGUGAGCGCGUAAUGUUUAACAUUUUACCAUCAAAUUGAAAUUUAGAAAUAUAACGGAAAUGUUCCAUGUCAUCAGCAUCAAAGUAAACAAACAGCACAUCAAAUGAUUUUUCGCGAACGAGCUGCAGAAAGUUAUUUGUACCAAUAAAGAAGUCAGUAUCACUA